GACGAACGCUGGCGGCGUGCUUAACACAUGCAAGUCGAACGGAAAGGCCCCCUUGUGGGGUACUCGAGUGGCGAACGGGUGAGUAACACGUGAGUAACCUACCCUUGACUUUGGGAUAACUUCAGGAAACUGGGGCUAAUACCGGAUAGGAGCUCCUGCUGCAUGGUGGGGGUUGGAAAGUUUCGGCGGUUGGGGAUGGACUCGCGGCUUAUCAGCUUGUUGGUGGGGUAGUGGCUCACAAAGGCUUUGACGGGUAGCCGGCCUGGGAGGGUGACCGGCCCCAUGGGACUACGGGUGGGGCCAGGACGCCAUCGGGGGCAAUGGGGGGGAAAUUUACCCAGUGGGGCGGAGGCCGUAGGGAGCACCGCCGGGUCGGGAAGGCCGGCUUUCGGGUUGGAAACGCCUUUGGCUGGUAACGAGGCGUGGUGACGGUAACUGGUUAAAAAGCAACGGCUAACUUCGUG
rnacentral:rRNA from 1 species